rnacentral:tRNA from 2 species
GUGAACCGUAGAUGAAGGUGGGCACAUCGAUCUUCGAGAGGUCGACCGGCUCGCCGCAGGUGGUCACCGCGCCCGGCUCGCGC